CUAAUUAUAUCACCCAGAGACCCAGGGCCGAGCGUGUGGGCAUUUUUCAGCUGACCCAGCCUGUUUCUACUUGCUUUGCAUGAUUGUUCUUGAUUUUUCAAAAUAAUAAUAACCACUACCAACCAGGGGGAAAAAAAUCCCCCCAGGGGCUGUGGAGCAGGCUCCCGGAGCAAGAGUCCUGGGCCACCUGCUGUUCCAGAGAGACCUACUCAGCAUUCUUGGUUGCCAAAACUAAAAGUUCAGCAUUAGGAUGACUCGCCUUCAGGGUGUUAGCGCUGUAAGUUCCAUGCCCAGGAAACCCUGUCAGUCCCAGGCAAACAGGACCAUUGGUCACCGGAGGUCUGGUGUAUGAGGCAACCAAAACACAGAAAGGUCAAGGUGCUCACCCAAGUCACACAGCUAGGAAGCUGCAGAAGAGAGACUUGAACCAGGCACUCUGCUUCCUGAGGCCACAUAUUUUGUGCACAGACCUGAACUCCCGUGCCAUGACUGGAUUUAAGGGUUACAUAUUGACAUGAUACAAUAUUCAGAAAAUCUGAAGGCUCUUCAGUGGAAAGAUCUCUUUCUACCUUGUUCCGCAUGUGCCCAUUUUCUCUCCUGUGGCGCUCACUGUUACCAUUUUCUGAGACUCCUCCCUGAGGCCCCUCUACGCUAGGAAACAGGAAAACAGAGCCGCAAGAAUAAUUCACUACUAGGAGAGAAAUACCGCAAUCGUGCUCGAAAGAUCGCUAACAUCUCCCUCUCUAGAACAGUGAGUCAAGCUACGAAGUUUGGUGUCGUGAAACCUACUCCUCUACCCCUCCCCCCCCCGUUUCAGG